rnacentral:rRNA from 1 species
UACGUAGGUGGCAAGCGUUGUCCGGAAUUAUUGGGCGUAAAGCGCGCGCAGGCGGCCUUUUAAGUCUGAUGUGAAAGCCCACGGCUCAACCGUGGAAGGUCAUUGGAAACUGAAAGGCUUGAGUACAGAAGAGGAAAGCGGAAUUCCACGUGUAGCGGUGAAAUGCGUAGAGAUGUGGAGGAACACCAGUGGCGAAGGCGGCUUUCUGGUCUGUAACUGACGCUGAGGCGCGAAAGCGUGGGGGAGCAAACAGG